rnacentral:rRNA from 1 species
GCGUUGUCCGGAAUCAUUGGGCGUAAAGGGCGCGUAGGUGGCGGGACAAGCGUGCGGUGAAAGCUCGGGGCUCAACCCCGGGUCGGCCGUGCGAACUGUUUUGCUUGAGCACUGUAGAGGCAGGCGGAAUUCCGGGUGUAGCGGUGGAAUGCGUAGAGAUCCGGAAGAACACCGGUGGCGAAGGCGGCCUGCUGGGCAGUAGCUGACACUGAGGCGCGACAGCGUG